CAGCAGUCGCCGCGGUAAUACGGAGGGGGCUAGCGUUGUUCGGAAUUACUGGGCGUAAAGCGUACGUAGGCGGCUUUGUAAGUUAGAGGUGAAAGCCUGGUGCUCAACACCAGAACUGCCUUUAAGACUGCAUCGCUUGAACGUCGGAGAGGUGAGUGGAAUUCCGAGUGUAGAGGUGAAAUUCGUAGAUAUUCGGAAGAACACCAGUGGCGAAGGCGGCUCACUGGACGACUGUUGACGCUGAGGUACGAAAGCGUGGGGAGCAAACAGGAUUAGAGACCCGAGUAGUCCCUGUCUCUUAUAA
rnacentral:rRNA from 1 species